rnacentral:tRNA from 1 species
GGACAUGGCGGAAUGGCAGACGCGCUAGACUUAGAAUCUAGUUCUUAGGAGUGUGGGUUCAAGUCCCACUGUCCGC